rnacentral:rRNA from 1 species
CAUUAUCGAACUUGGAGCUUGGUUGUAGCUGGCCUGCAAAAGGCAUGUGCACGCCUUUCUCUUUCAUCCACACACCCCUGUGCACCUGUGAGACGGAGGCCUGUCGUUCUCUUUCAGUAGGGGAUCGAGUUUCCGUCUGCUGUUAUACAAAAUCAAUUUAUUUUAAUUUGAAUGUAAUUGACGUGAACGCGUCUUAUAUACUAAGUUUCAACAACGGAUCUCUUGGCUCUCGCAUCGAUGAAGAACGCAGCGAAAUGCGAUAAGUAAUGUGAAUUGCAGAAUUCAGUGAAUCAUCGAAUCUUUGAACGCACCUUGCGCUCCUCGGUAUUCCUUGGAGCAUGCCUGUUUGAGUAUCAUGAAAUUCUCAAAGUAAAUCUUUCGUCGACUCGGCGGACUUUGCUUUGGACUUGGAGGUCUGCAGACUUCACAGUCUGCUCCUCUCAAACGCAUCAGCUGGAUCUCGGUGAGCUUGGUUCCACUCGGCGUGAUAAGUAUCACUCGCUGAGGACACCCGUAAAAACGGUGGCCAGGGUCGUGGAUGAACCGCUUCUAAUGGUCUAUUCGCUUAGACAAUACAUUUAUGAUCUGAUCUCAAAUCAGGUAGGACUACCCGCUGAACUUAA